CUCCAGCCUCCCGAAUGGUUCAAAACACACCCUCUGACCACCCUGGACCUCAGAAGGCUCUGCCUGUGUGUCUGCGUCGUCCUCCAUGUAGACCUAGCGCCGGCUCCUCCCUGGCUCGCGCUGCGCUGGGGUCUGUGCUGUAUAGUUCUCUCUAUUAUAUAUGUGUGUGCACUGUCUGGUCAAGAGCAGUGUCCAUGUGCGUUUCUGUGGCAGCAGUGCACGUGGGGUGGGUGGGGGGUGUGUACGGUGGGGCUUGUAGGUUAAGAUGUCUCUGCGGUGUUGUCGUGGGGCUGGAGGCUGAGCCAGGCGUGGUAGCUGGCCCUCUCCGGGCGCACGGAGGAAUUCUCCCUUUGACGUUCCAAGGAUGCCGCCGCCUCCUGCCGGGGCUCCUGGGGUGGCCGGCCAACACUAAGAAGGGCAGCAAGUCCUCAGGGCGCCGGGGAGCCGCCACUCUGCUCUCAGGCUCUACUCAGACUAGCACCAACAGUCUCCAGGGACAGGCUCGCAUCGGCCGCCCUGCGGCUUGGCCUCCUCCCAUAGGAUCCUCUUCCUCCCUCUCAUUCAUCAAGUCUUCAAACUUUGAAAAACAUAUGAGCUUUUGCCAAAUAAGACGGGAUAGUUGAUGGAGUUUUCUGAGGCUCACUGGACUCCGGUCAGCCCUCGAGCGUGGGCCCAGCCGUCGGCAGCCCCGGGGGGUUGGCCCAGCUGGCCCGUCACCGCCUGGCCCGCCCUGGCCUCCACCGUCACAGUUCAUGCUGGUGCCGGGCUGCACACCCACUCCUGGUAUGCCUGAGGUUCUCCAGGGGCCAAGCCAGUCCUCCCUUGAGGCCCUCUCUUCCAGGGCCAGGAUGCUCCUGUGGAGCCAGCCCACCUCGGCUGGGGUCCCAGGGACUGGAUGCCUGUCUGCUUAGCCUCCGUGUACCAACCCCCUGACUUUCAAGUCCUUGUGCCCUGACCAAGUUCUGAGGAAAAGAGCGCUCAGGGCCUCGAGGUGGCUCGCCCCCCUCAAACUCACCUAGUCUCCUCCCAAGUCUAUGAGCUCAGACACGGGGGCUCCAUCUGUCUUUUCCUGAGGUCCCGAAUCUUGUCCCUGCUCUGAUUCUGUCAGCAGAUCCUGAACACUCCUUGGUGGGGACCCCCGCCUCCAAGGCAGACCCCAAUGCCAGCUGCCCUGGGGAAACUCCCCAGAACUCUCGGGGAAAGGCCCGAGAACCUUCCGAGGAAGCCUCCGGGACUCCUCUCCACUUGCUCUGUUUCUCUCCUGGCCCCGCUGCCUUCAGGUAUCAGGAAGAGGGCAGGCCCCUGCGCCUCCUCUCCCCUUCCCAGGUCGGCCAACAAUACUCCAGCGUGGGGCACUUCCUUUCUUUUCUGCAAACUCUCUAAGACAUUGGACCGAAGGAACUAGCCUGAGGGGGGCUGACCGGGGCCGGUGCUGCUGGGUGCUCUACCCACGGAGGCCGCCGGGGGUCACGGACAGGAACCUCAGCCCAAGGGUGCUGGCCUUUCUCCUUCACAAGAGUCCCCCAGGAUCCACACAGCGACUCAAGCAGCCUUCCGCUCAGCCGGAGGAGGGCCAGGCUCCCCCCCGCCUGCUCUGGGUGGUGGCGUCUGGCCCUUCCUGCCCUUUCCAAGGCCUCCGGAAGCACCAACUCAGUUCUCAGUUACCUCCUCUGGCCAGAAGGUCUCACGCUGUCCUCCAGAGCUGCUCUGGGCCCAGGGCUGGCUCCAUGACCACCCCGAUGGACGUGCUGGGCAGCAUGGGCCCCGAUAGCAGUCCCCAGCUGCUCUCCCACCCCACCCCAGCUGCCCGGCGGCUGGGCCCACGAGGGCUCUGGGGACACUUCCAUAGGAAGGGGCCCGGCACUUUGUGAUUGCCACGUGUCUCGUGUUAAGCCGCCCGCCCCCAGUGCAAAUUUCUGUGUUUCUCUCCUGAACAAAAAUGUAAACCGACGCCGGAAAGCAAAUGGUAUCGAAUACCUUUCUUGCCCACAAGGGUUUUUACAAAGAAUGUGUCUCACUAGGAACUAGGACACUCAUCGGCCCAAGACCAACUCCUGAAUAAAAGGAAUAAGGAGAAUCGUGUUUGUAACGAGUUACAGGAUCGUUUCUUUCCUGGAUUUUAAACUUUUUGUUAAAUCGUGAAAUUAUGGAGGAGUUUUAUAGAAAAAAAAAAGUGAAAUAAAGUCAGAUGGGAAAGCAGA